CUGCCUUCUCGUCCCUCUCAAAUCCUUUCAAGAAUCAGAACAAAGAACAGUGAAGAUCAAAAUUCAAUCUCAAAUUAGGUAAAGAAAAAGCAUCUCAAUUUAUUCAAUUUUUUUUAAUUCCUUUUUUAAAUUGCGUCUUUCUUUUAAUGUGUUCUCCAGUUUCUUGAAACCCACGUAACCAAUUCUCAUUUCAUUCCUAAUAUCGAGUUCAGACGAGGUUUUUAAUGUCGUCACCAAAUCAGCGUUUGGCUUCAUCUACGGAGAAGAGACCGUCUGUCGCUGGGCUUCAAAGCAAGAAGCUCGGUUCUG
rnacentral:lncRNA from 1 species